AACGAACGCUGGCGGCAGGCUUAACACAUGCAAGUCGAACGCCCCGCAAGGGGAGUGGCAGACGGGUGAGUAACGCGUGGGAACAUACCCUUUCCUGCGGAAUAGCUCUGGGAAACUGGAAUUAAUACCGCAUACGCCCUACGGGGGAAAGAUUUAUCGGGGAAGGAUUGGCCCGCGUUGGAUUAGCUAGUUGGUGGGGUAAAGGCCUACCAAGGCGACGAUCCAUAGCUGGUCUGAGAGGAUGAUCAGCCACAUUGGGACUGAGACACGGCCCAAACUCCUACGGGAGGCAGCAGUGGGGAAUAUUGGACAAUGGGUGCAAGCCUGAUCCAGCCAUGCCGCGUGAGUGAUGAAGGCCUUAGGGUUGUAAAGCUCUUUCACCGAUGAAGAUAAUGACGGUAGUCGGAGAAGAAGCCCCGGCUAACUUCGUGCCAGCCGCCGCCGUAA
rnacentral:rRNA from 1 species